AUUGAACGCUGGCGGAAUGCUUUACACAUGCAAGUCGAGCGGCAGCACGGGGGCAACCCUGGUGGCGAGCGGCGAACGGGUGAGUAGUACAUCGGAACAUGCCCAGUCGUGGGGGAUAACACUUCGAAAGAAGUGCUAAUACCGCAUACGUCCUGAGGGAGAAAGCGGGGGAUCUUCGGACCUCGCGCGAUUGGAGUGGCCGAUGUCAGAUUAGCUAGUUGGUGGGGUAAAGGCCUACCAAGGCAACGAUCUGUAGCUGGUCUGAGAGGAUGAUCAGCCACACUGGGACUGAGACACGGCCCAGACUCCUACGGGAGGCAGCAGUGGGGAAUUUUGGACAAUGGGGGCAACCCUGAUCCAGCCAUUCCGCGUGAGUGAAGAAGGCCUUCGGGUUGUAAAGCUCUUUCGGCAGGAACGAAACGGCGAGCUCUAACAUAGCUUGCUAAUGACGGUACCUGAAGAAGAAGCACCGGCUAACUACGUGCCAGCCGCCGCCGUAAUAC
rnacentral:rRNA from 1 species